GACGAACCGUGCAAACGUUAUUCGGAAUCACUGGGCUUAAAGCGUGCGUAGGCGGCUCAGAAAGUUGGGUGUGAAAUCCCUCGGCUCAACCGAGGAACUGCGUCCGAUACUGGCAGGCUGGAAUCCGGGAGAGGGAUGUGGAAUUCCAGGUGUAGCGGUGAAAUGCGUAGAUAUCUGGAGGAACACCGGUGGCGAAGGCGGCAUCCUGGACCGGUAUUGACGCUGAGGCGCGAAAGCUAGGGGAGCAAACGGG
rnacentral:rRNA from 1 species